rnacentral:rRNA from 1 species
GAUCCUGCCAGUAGUCAUA